rnacentral:rRNA from 1 species
CACACUAUCAUUAACUGAAUCCAUAGGUUAAUGAGGCGAACCGGGGGAACUGAAACAUCUAAGUACCCCGAGGAAAAGAAAUCAACCGAGAUUCCCCCAGUAGCGGCGAGCGAACGGGGAGCAGCCCAGAGCCUGAAUCAGUGUGUGUGUUAGUGGAAGCGUCUGGAAAGGCGCGCGAUACAGGGUGACAGCCCCGUACACAAAAAUGCACAUGCUGUGAGCUCGAUGAGUAGGGCGGGACACGUGGUAUCCUGUCUGAAUAUGGGGGGACCAUCCUCCAAGGCUAAAUACUCCUGACUGACCGAUAGUGAACCAGUACCGUGAGGGAAAGGCGAAAAGAACCCCGGCGAGGGGAGUGAAAAAGAACCUGAAACCGUGUACGUACAAGCAGUGGGAGCACGCUUAGGCGUGUGACUGCGUACCUUUUGUAUAAUGGGUCAGCGACUUAUAUUCUGUAGCAAGGUUAACCGAAUAGGGGAGCCGAAGGGAAACCGAGUCUUAACUGGGCGUUAAGUUGCAGGGUAUAGACCCGAAACCCGGUGAUCUAGCCAUGGGCAGGUUGAAGGUUGGGUAACACUAACUGGAGGACCGAACCGACUAAUGUUGAAAAAUUAGCGGAUGACUUGUGGCUGGGGGUGAAAGGCCAAUCAAACCGGGAGAUAGCUGGUUCUCCCCGAAAGCUAUUUAGGUAGCGCCUCGUGAAUUCAUCUCCGGGGGUAGAGCACUGUUUCGGCAAGGGGGUCAUCCCGACUUACCAACCCGAUGCAAACUGCGAAUACCGGAGAAUGUUAUCACGGGAGACACACGGCGGGUGCUAACGUCCGUCGUGAAGAGGGAAACAACCCAGACCGCCAGCUAAGGUCCCAAAGUCAUGGUUAAGUGGGAAACGAUGUGGGAAGGCCCAGACAGCCAGGAUGUUGGCUUAGAAGCAGCCAUCAUUUAAAGAAAGCGUAAUAGCUCACUGGUCGAGUCGGCCUGCGCGGAAGAUGUAACGGGGCUAAACCAUGCACCGAAGCUGCGGCAGCGACGCUGAUGCGUUGUUGGGUAGGGGAGCGUUCUGUAAGCCUGCGAAGGUGUGCUGUGAGGCAUGCUGGAGGUAUCAGAAGUGCGAAUGCUGACAUAAGUAACGAUAAAGCGGGUGAAAAGCCCGCUCGCCGGAAGACCAAGGGUUCCUGUCCAACGUUAAUCGGGGCAGGGUGAGUCGACCCCUAAGGCGAGGCCGAAAGGCGUAGUCGAUGGGAAACAGGUUAAUAUUCCUGUACUUGGUGUUACUGCGAAGGGGGGACGGAGAAGGCUAUGUUGGCCGGGCGACGGUUGUCCCGGUUUAAGCGUGUAGGCUGGUUUUCCAGGCAAAUCCGGAAAAUCAAGGCUGAGGCGUGAUGACGAGGCACUACGGUGCUGAAGCAACAAAUGCCCUGCUUCCAGGAAAAGCCUCUAAGCAUCAGGUAACAUCAAAUCGUACCCCAAACCGACACAGGUGGUCAGGUAGAGAAUACCAAGGCGCUUGAGAGAACUCGGGUGAAGGAACUAGGCAAAAUGGUGCCGUAACUUCGGGAGAAGGCACGCUGAUAUGUAGGUGAAGCGACUUGCUCGUGGAGCUGAAAUCAGUCGAAGAUACCAGCUGGCUGCAACUGUUUAUUAAAAACACAGCACUGUGCAAACACGAAAGUGGACGUAUACGGUGUGACGCCUGCCCGGUGCCGGAAGGUUAAUUGAUGGGGUUAGCGCAAGCGAAGCUCUUGAUCGAAGCCCCGGUAAACGGCGGCCGUAACUAUAACGGUCCUAAGGUAGCGAAAUUCCUUGUCGGGUAAGUUCCGACCUGCACGAAUGGCGUAAUGAUGGCCAGGCUGUCUCCACCCGAGACUCAGUGAAAUUGAACUCGCUGUGAAGAUGCAGUGUACCCGCGGCAAGACGGAAAGACCCCGUGAACCUUUACUAUAGCUUGACACUGAACAUUGAGCCUUGAUGUGUAGGAUAGGUGGGAGGCUUUGAAGUGUGGACGCCAGUCUGCAUGGAGCCGACCUUGAAAUACCACCCUUUAAUGUUUGAUGUUCUAACGUUGACCCGUAAUCCGGGUUGCGGACAGUGUCUGGUGGGUAGUUUGACUGGGGCGGUCUCCUCCUAAAGAGUAACGGAGGAGCACGAAGGUUGGCUAAUCCUGGUCGGACAUCAGGAGGUUAGUGCAAUGGCAUAAGCCAGCUUGACUGCGAGCGUGACGGCGCGAGCAGGUGCGAAAGCAGGUCAUAGUGAUCCGGUGGUUCUGAAUGGAAGGGCCAUCGCUCAACGGAUAAAAGGUACUCCGGGGAUAACAGGCUGAUACCGCCCAAGAGUUCAUAUCGACGGCGGUGUUUGGCACCUCGAUGUCGGCUCAUCACAUCCUGGGGCUGAAGUAGGUCCCAAGGGUAUGGCUGUUCGCCAUUUAAAGUGGUACGCGAGCUGGGUUUAGAACGUCGUGAGACAGUUCGGUCCCUAUCUGCCGUGGGCGCUGGAGAAUUGAGGGGGGCUGCUCCUAGUACGAGAGGACCGGAGUGGACGCAUCACUGGUGUUCGGGUUGUCAUGCCAAUGGCACUGCCCGGUAGCUAAAUGCGGAAGAGAUAAGUGCUGAAAGCAUCUAAGCACGAAACUUGCCCCGAGAUGAGUUCUCCCUGACUCCUUGAGAGUCCUGAAGGAACGUUGAAGACGACGACGUUGAUAGGCCGGGUGUGUAAGCGCAGCGAUGCGUUGAGCUAACCGGUACUAAUGAACCGUGAGGCUUAACCUU